UACAUAUACUCGCGGACCCCCAGGGGCCCGCGGACUACAUGUUGAGAAACACUGGCCUAAAACAUACAGUUAAUGUA